AGAGUUUGAUCAUGGCUCAGGAUGAACGCUGGCGGCGUGCUUAACACAUGCAAGUCGAACGGAGUUUAUAAGCGGAAGUCUUCGGAUGGAAGCUUAUAAACUUAGUGGCGGACGGGUGAGUAACGCGUGGGUAACCUGCCUUACACAGGGGGAUAACAGCCGGAAACGGCUGCUAAUACCGCAUAAGCGCACAGUGCUGC
rnacentral:rRNA from 1 species